GACGAACGCUGGCGGCGUGCUUAACACAUGCAAGUCGAACGGAAAGGCCCUGCUUUUGUGGGGUGCUCGAGUGGCGAACGGGUGAGUAACACGUGAGUAACCUGCCCUUGACUUUGGGAUAACUUCAGGAAACUGGGGCUAAUACCGGAUAGGAGCUCCUGCUGCAUGGUGGGGGUUGGAAAGUUUCGGCGGUUGGGGAUGGACUCGCGGCUUAUCAGCUUGUUGGUGGGGUAGUGGCUUACCAAGGCUUUGACGGGUAGCCGGCCUGAGAGGGUGACCGGCCACAUUGGGACUGAGAUACGGCCCAGACGCCUACGGGAGGCAGCAGUCGGGAAUAUUGCACAAUGGGCGGAAGCCUGAUGCAGCGACGCCGCGUGCGGGAUGACGGCCUUCGGGUUGUAAACCGCUUUCGCCUGUGACGAAGCGUGAGUGACGGUAAUGGGUAAAGAAGCACCGGCUAACUACGUG
rnacentral:rRNA from 1 species